rnacentral:rRNA from 1 species
UACAGAGGUCCCGAGCGUUGUUCGGAUUCAUUGGGCGUAAAGGGUGCGUAGGCGGCGCGGUAAGUCGGGUGUGAAAUCUCCGGGCUCAACCCGGAAAUGGCAUUGGAAACUACCUUGCUGGAGGAUUUGAGGGGGGAUUGGAAUACUUGGUGUAGCAGUGAAAUGCGUAGAUAUCAAGUGGAACACCAGUGGCGAAGGCGAAUCCCUGGAAAAUACCUGACACUGAGGCACGAAAGCUAGGGGAGCAAACAGG